AUGCCGCUGCGCUUCACCAACGGGGUUGACGUCGAUCAAGUCACCGGUCAAGUCUACUUCACCCACAGCUCGAUGAACUACGACAGGUCAGAACACGAGAUGGUCACCAAGACGGGGGACUCCACAGGCCGCCUCAUGAUGUAUGAUCCACGAACAUCGGACGCCACCGUGCUCCAACCUAGGAUGACAUACCCGAACGGCGUCUCGCUCAGCGCAGACCGCACGCACCUCGUGGUCGCAUCUACCGGCCCAUGUAAGCUGCUGAGGCACUGGAUAAGAGGGGUCGACGCGGGCAAGUCCGAGCCAUUUGCCGACCUGCCGGGCUACCCAGAUAACGUCAGGCCCACAGGAGGAGGUUAUUGGGUGGCGUUGCACCGUGAGAAGAAUGAGUUGCCCUUUGGCCGUGAUAGCCAUCUUCUUGCUGUCAGGGUCGGGGCCCAUGGGAAGAUAGUCGAGCAGAUGAGAGGGUCAAAGAAAGUUAGGCCAACCGAGAUCAUGGAAAGAGAUGACGGCAAACUCUACUUGGGUUCGGUGGAGCUUCCUUAUGUCGGCGUAGUAAAAAGGAAGUAG
rnacentral:rRNA from 1 species